GCGAACGCUGGCGGCAGGCCUAACACAUGCAAGUCGAACGGAUCCUUCGGGAUUAGUGGCGGACGGGUGAGUAACACGUGGGAACGUGCCCUUUGGUUCGGGACAACUCAGGGAAACUUGAGCUAAUACCGGAUGUGCCCUUCGGGGGAAAGAUUUAUCGCCAUUGGAGCGGCCCGCGUCUGAUUAGCUAGUUGGUGAGGUAACGGCCCACCAAGGCGACGAUCAGUAGCUGGUCUGAGAGGAUGAUCAGCCACACUGGGACUGAGACACGGCCCAGACUCCUACGGGAGGCAGCAGUGGGGAAUCUUGCGCAAUGGGCGAAAGCCUGACGCAGCCAUGCCGCGUGAAUGAUGAAGGUCUUAGGAUUGUAAAAUUCUUUCAGCGGGGACGAUAAUGACGGUACCCGCAGAAGAAGCUCCGGCUAACUUCGUG
rnacentral:rRNA from 1 species